GACAGAGGAGCCAAGCGUUGUCCGGAUUGACUGGGCGUAAAGCGCACGCAGGCGGCCCGGCGCGUGGGGUGUGAAAGCUGGCGGCUUAACUGCCAGACGCCAUCCCAUACGGCUGGGCUCGAGCCCUGCAGAGGUCCAUGGAAUUGCCGGUGUAGUGGUGAAAUGCGUAGAGAUCGGCAGGAACGCCCAGGGGGAAACCAGUGGACUGGGCAGGAGCUGACGCUCAGGUGCGAAAGCGUGGGGAGCGAACCGG
rnacentral:rRNA from 1 species